rfam:Schistosoma rodhaini strain Burundi genome assembly, scaffold: SROB_scaffold0005644
AUCCAUAUGACGAGUUCCGAAUAGGAUGAGACGCGCGUCCUGGAU